GCAUCACCCACUGCCCUUGCCCCUCCUUAGGAGUCGCCAAAAAUUCCUUUAUUAAUUCCUUUGGUGAAGUCUCCAAAGCAAAAUUCUUGUGCCUUCCCAGAGCUCUGUGCAGGAUAUUCCCAUGUAUUCCCAGAGAAACUCGUCGCGUCACCGAUCCAAAGGCUCCCAAACUGCUGGGAUGGUUUUGCCAGCUCUGGGUCCCGCUGUGCCGCUGGCUGGAGCUCGGACAGCACAGGUAAGCGUUCCAGGGAUGCUCCAGGGG
rnacentral:lncRNA from 12 species